rnacentral:tRNA from 1 species
GAGGGAGGCUCGCUAGCACCAAGAACUGCUAAUUCUUGUCACCUUGGUUGGACCCCUGGGCUCCCUUG